GUGGGGAAUAUUGGACAAUGGGGGAAACCCUGAUCCAGCAAUGCCGCGUGAGUGAAGAAGGCCCUAGGGUUGUAAAACUCUUUCAACUGUGAAGAUGAUGACGGUAGCAGUAGAAGAAGCUCCGGCUAACUCCGUGCCAGCAGCCGCGGUAAUACGGAGGGAGCUAGCGUUGUUCGGAAUUACUGGGCGUAAAGAGCACGUAGGUGGUAGAGAUAGUCAGUGGUGAAAGGCCUGGGCUCAACCCAGGAACUGCCAUUGAUACUGCUUUACUAGAGUCCGGGAGAGGAUAGCGGAAUUUCCAGUGUAGAGGUGAAAUUCGUAGAUAUUGGAAAGAACACCAGUUGCGAAGGCGGCUAUCUGGACCGGUACUGACACUGAGGUGCGAAAGCGUGGGGAGCGAACAGGAUUAGAUACCCCGGUAGUCC
rnacentral:rRNA from 1 species